AAUCAUGCCACAGUAUGAUUCUAAUCUGAUAGCAUUUGUAGCAACUACAGGGGAGAAUUCAAAACUCAGUUUGGCUGAUGUGGUCUUUUAAAAUAUGCCUAACUCUACCCAUCCCAUGCUGAUUUUCUGCUGACGUCACCAGAGAAGUCUUUGUGGAUAUUUGCCACUCUCCUGGACACUCCUCAAACCCUCACCACUUUUUGAGAGCAUCAGGGAUGUGGAAGGCCAAGCCAAGGACCAGUUAGAGUCUAACUGUAUCUUUAACUUUUAAAAUUUGGCCUAUCCUGCUUGUGAUCAUUCCACUUGAGACCAGUAUAACACAGUUGCUUGGACCACCUAUUUCACAUGUGCAGUUCAUCAAAGGUAUGCAGAGGAAAGCAUACUUGUCACCUGGCCAUGCACCUUGGCCAGUUUGGACAAUGAUCCUGAGUCUCCAUAAAUAUGCAAGAGAGAUUAAUAGGAGAGAGUCCCAGAGAAGUCAGGAUCUGAGCCCCGGGCACUGAGAACACAGGUUGUGCUGACCCCGGGCUAGCAGGCCACAGUAAUCACUGUGUGGAUCAGAGACAAAUGGAUAUGCGAAGCAGAAAUACAGUUAUGUGCAUGUCAUUAUUUCUGUGAUUGAAUUGGUUUAACUUGGGCAUUUUAUCACAUCUGUCAUUUGUUUCAACAGCCUCUCAAUAAACAAUAAAAAGACCCUGGAUUUCAA